UACGAAGGGGGGCUAGCGUUGUUCGGAAUCACUGGGCGUAAAGCGCACGCAGGCGGAUUGAUAAGUCGGGGGUGAAAUCCCGGGGCUCAACCUCGGAAUUGCCUUCGAUACUGUCUGUCUUGAGUCCGGGAGAGGUGAGUGGAAUUCCUAGUGUAGAGGUGAAAUUCGUAGAUAUUCGGAAGAACACCAGUGGCGAAGGCGACUUACUGGACACAUAUUGACGCUGAGGUGCGAAAGCGUGGGGAGCAAACAGG
rnacentral:rRNA from 1 species